UACGGGGGGGGCAAGCGUUGUUCGGAAUUACUGGGCGUAAAGGGCUCGUAGGCGGCCAACUAAGUCGGACGUGAAAAUCCCUCGGCUCAACCGGGGAACUGCGUCCGAUACUGGAUGGCUUGAAUCCGGGAGAGGGAUGCGGAAUUCCAGGUGUAGCGGUGAAAUGCGUAGAUAAUCUGGAGGAACACCGGUGGCGAAGGCGGCGAUCC
rnacentral:rRNA from 1 species